UUAGAUUGCUUUUUAAACCAUAGUUACUUUUGCACCAAGCUAA
rnacentral:miRNA from 1 species